GUCUUCGUAGUGUAACGGUAGCACACUCGGCGUAUAAUCGAGGGGUCGAGGUUCAAGUCCCGGUGAGGGCA
rnacentral:tRNA from 1 species